rnacentral:rRNA from 1 species
CGUAGGCGGCCGCGCAAGUCGGACGUGAAAUCCCUCGGCUCAACCGAGGAACUGCGUCCGAAACUGCACGGCUUGAGUCCCGGAGAGGGUAGCGGAAUUCCCAGUGUAGCGGUGAAAUGCGUAGAUAUUGGGAGGAACACCCGUGGCGAAGGCGGCUACCUGGACGGGUACUGACGCUGAGGCGCGAAAGCUAGGGGAGCAAACA